CAACACCUCAGGAGGAGGAGCUGGGGGUCUUCUGUCACGCAAACGCGGGCUUUGUAACAUGUAACUCUUCAACGGGCGCCAAGGGGGCGCUGGAGAGCAGGGGAUCUCAGGUGCUGGGGAGGAGUCCACUGAGGCUGACACCCUUGGACAGCUUCUGUCAAACCUGGAGGUGCACAAAACAGCUCUGAGUUGCAUCACUCCGUGCACAGCACCCCCGGAAGAGGAGUCACAGACCCAGCUGCAAACCAGAAACAAGACUUCAAGAACAAGAAAAAUGGGACUUGUCAAGAUACUGAAGUUGGCAAAGAUUUUAUGGAAAGAGCACCAAAAAUCGUUAAUUAUAAAAGAAAAAAGUUGUUUAAAAAUGAGAUUUCAGAGAAGACACCAUUCAGAAAUGACUAGAAAAGUCGUGACCUAGGGGAAAAACUCUCAGCGUGUAGGUAAAUGACAAAAAUCCAGAAUCCAAGAAGAGUCCUAAGUGCGUCUUGUAUCGUGGGGGAUGAUGGUUAUACUAGCAUGUGCUACUGUCGAGAUUCAUAAAACCAAAACUCUACGUGUCUUGUUGUCUGUAACUGCUAUAAUAAAAAUGAAAUGAGGGUC
rnacentral:lncRNA from 1 species